rnacentral:rRNA from 1 species
UACAGAGACUGCGAGCGUUAUUCGGAUUCACUGGGCGUAAAGGGUGCGCAGGCGGCCGAGUGUGUGAGGCGUGAAAGCCCGGGGCUUAACCCCGGAAUUGCACCUCAAACUACACGGCUAGAGCAUUGGAGAGGGUAGCAGAAUUCAUGGUGUAGCAGUGAAAUGCGUAGAUAUCUGGAGGAACACCGGUGGCGAAGGCGGCAUCCUGGACCGGUAUUGACGCUGAGGCGCGAAAGCCAGGGGAGCAAACGGG